rnacentral:rRNA from 1 species
GUGGGGAAUCUUGCGCAAUGGGCGAAAGCCUGACGCAGCCAUGCCGCGUGGAUGAUGAAGGUCUUAGGAUUGUAAAAUCCUUUCACCGGUGAAGAUAAUGACUGUAGCCGGAGAAGAAGCCCCGGCUAACUUCGUGCCAGCAGCCGCGGUAAUACGAAGGGGGCUAGCGUUGCUCGGAUUUACUGGGCGUAAAGGGCGCGUAGGCGGACAUUUAAGGCAGGGGUGAAAUCCCGGGGCUCAACCUCGGAACUGCCUUUGAUACUGGGUGUCUUGAGUAUGAGAGAGUUGUGUGGAACUCCGAGUGUAGAGGAGACACUCGUAGAUAUUCGGAAGAACACCAGUGGCGAAGGCGACACACUGGCUCAUUACUGACGCUGAGGCGCGAAAGCGUGGGGAGCAAACAGGAUUAGAUACCCCUGUAGUCC